rnacentral:rRNA from 1 species
GAUGAACGCUGGCGGCGUGCCUAAUACAUGCAAGUCGAGCGAACAGACGAGGAGCUUGCUCCUCUGACGUUAGCGGCGGACGGGUGAGUAACACGUGGAUAACCUACCUAUAAGACUGGGAUAACUUCGGGAAACCGGAGCUAAUACCGGAUAAUAUAUUGAACCGCAUGGUUCAAUAGUGAAUGACGGUUUUGCUGUCACUUAUAGAUGGAUCCGCGCCGCAUUAGCUAGUUGGUAAGGUAACGGCUUACCAAGGCGACGAUGCGUAGCCGACCUGAGAGGGUGAUCGGCCACACUGGAACUGAGACACGGUCCAGACUCCUACGGGAGGCAGCAGUAGGGAAUCUUCCGCAAUGGGCGAAAGCCUGACGGAGCAACGCCGCGUGAGUGAUGAAGGUCUUCGGAUCGUAAAACUCUGUUAUUAGGGAAGAACAAAUGUGUAAGUAACUAUGCACGUCUUGACGGUACCUAAUCAGAAAGCCACGGCUAACUACGUG